rnacentral:lncRNA from 1 species
GAAGUGGCAGGAAAUUUUUACAUAGGAGAGUAUGGUGAUCAUAUUUGCAUUUUAGAAAAUAAUGGAUAGCAGUUUGUUAGGGGAACAAAGGACAGAGACAGGGAGACUAUUUAAAACAUUAAUAAAAAAUACCCGUGACAGAUGAUGAGGCAUCUACCUGAUGGGAAUGGAGAAGAGGAGAUGGAUUCAGAAACUACUUAGGAGGUAGCUGAAUAUGUAGCCUGCAAAUCAGGAGAAAAUUCUAGGUGAAGAUGGUAAUUGCGAAUCAUCAGAGUCUAUAUGAGGCAGGCAGUCCAAGGCUGAUGCCCAAAGAAGCCAUCAAGACCCGUGCUACUUCCAGCUCCUUCUGUCCUCAUAAUCAUAGAUGAUUGCUCCACAUCCAGCACCUAACACCAGUACUCAGUUAAAUUUUUUGCUGAAUAAAUCAAUGAAUGGAGAGGUAAAGAGGAACCAGAAGUUGGGGUUACAGAAGUCACUGAUGGAAGAGUUUCAAGAUAGUAGAAGUGGUCAGCCCUGUUAAGUGACAAGCCAAGGACUGAAGAAAGACUGGCAG